GGAACAGGCAGAGGACACCAGGAACCAAAGAAGGCCUGUCAUCAUUUGGGGCUGCUUCAUUUAGCUUCCUCUUGGCAUCUGCACAGGAAGGGCUGGUCUCCAGUACGCACAUUAAUCAAGCCUGCCGCCCUCACCGCAGCUGCCGCCAAGUCCUCUCCAGGUUCUCAACAAUGGUCUGCACAGCCUCACUCCAGCCAUCAACCCUUCCUUCUACCCGGACAGCCAGUCAGUCUAUCUAUCUAUUGCUUGAUUUGACCAAAGCUCGAUGGAUAAUUUGGAGGAAUGGCUCUGCGCCUAUUUUUAAUGACAGCCGGUGAGUCCGUAGAUUUAGGGAGUGCGUGUUGAGAUGAAAAAAGAAUGGAAUUUAAGAAACCUUCCAUGAGGUCUCUGAGUCAACCGUCUAAUGACUGAAAAAUAAAGAGAGAAAUACCUGACAGCACCCCUGGGUUCCAGCUUCCAAUCGGGCACACAUCUGCUCUGCAGAAGGACGAGGGGAUUGACUACUUUUUCAUGACCUGUAUCUAUUUUGGGGAGAUACUGCAUUGCAUCGGUAAAUAAUGAUCUGCCUUCUGUUGGCAUACAAUGCUUAAAUUAAUAAAAAUCUAAACGAUACAUCUUGCAGCGCAGCGUACUUAAUUGAAAGGCUGGAUGGCGGCAGUAGUAAUUUUCCUGGGUGAAAAUUAUUGGGAUGAGCUCACAGCAGCAUGAAUAGCUUAGUCAAUAUGGGGACUUCCACAGGCAGGCUGUUACAGGGUCCAUCGCACUUUCUAGAGAAGGUGGGUGGUGCUCCUCCAAUCCUUAAUGUGGCGGGGUCGAGAGUGGUAUAGAAAUUGAAACAGAUAACCGGUAAUUGCCCUAAAUAGACACUUUAGUGACUUUCCCUGCUUAACCUGUCUGCUCGAUCUUCAAGGUCUACAACGUGAUUAUAAGUAACUCCUGAGCUUCGCCAUUCUUAUUAAGAGCCCUUCUGCCCUUUGCUGAAGCACUCUUGGUACCUAGUUGAUGAGACCUGAAGACCUUCCGCAUGGAAUUUGCCUCACGUGUGGCAAGCUGCCACUGGGCAGAAAACUGCCCCUGCUUCAACUGCAGACAAAAUGUUGUCCCGAAAGGAGAAAGAGAUUUGGGGAAGUCGACUGCAGAGCGUUGCCAAGACAAGUUAAGCAGCCUUUCCUAAUCCCCACUUCACAAAGGGUCCGCCAAGUUAUAAGGACAGUUUUGGGGGACUGUCCAGGCAACUGUUCUCUGCCAUUUCUGUAGUUGUGGAAGCCACUUGCCCUACUUCCUGCACACUGGAGUAAUGUUUAUUCCUUCUCAGGUCUCUGAUGGCGUUGGAGACUAGAGAGUUACAGCCUCACGAGUAAGCUUCAGUUGCUUAGGACUUAAGAAAAUGUUUUAAGUCUAAGAAGAUGUUUCUGGGAUGGUGAUGCAAGUUAGGAAGUUGCCAAAGAUAUGAGAACUGGACACUGUGAAAGUAAGUCUUACCUGAUGGUUUUCAUGCUUCUUAUUAUUGCACAGUUUAUUACCAUAAGGAAAAGAGCCUUUAAGGGGACUAAAAGGCAGAAUGGUAGAGAGAAUACAUUGUGUAUUGUAUCGACGCAUUACCUGUCAAUCAAAACAAAAACAAAAACAAAAACAAAAACUGUGGCCUAUAGGAAAGGUUAGAAUAAAAGGUGGGACAUCUGGUAGGCAGAAAGGAUUCUGGGAUAGUGAUGCAGGAGAAGGGUCCUUAGGAAGCUGUGAGGAGGAGACGCACGGUACCUGAGUAGAGGUGACCAGCCACAUGGCAAAAUGUAGAUUAAUAUAAAUGGGUUAUUUUAAAUUAUUAGCUAGUCAGGAAACGAGCCUAGCUAUGUGGCUGAGGUAUUUGUACAUGCAUUUUGAGUCUGAAUCAUUAUAGUAGGAGCUUGGGGCUGGGAGGAAAAUGGCUUGUGACAUCAUUAUCAAACCACUAGCAUUACGGCUAGCUACGCUGUCCGAGUACAGAUUUCCUUGGUGGCUGUGGUGGUGGGGAGAUACAUGAGAGAGAUAACAUCUAGAGUUGGUCCUGGCUCCAAGAUGAAGCAUCGCUCUAAUUGGACGGAAGUGUCCUGCUGAAGGUGUGAACCCAUCCAAAAGCAGUCUGAAACCCCAGGCACCCUGUCAGUGUGCCACUUUCUCCUAUUCGCACGCAUGUCCCGCACCCCCAUCCCACUGGUUCUGUUACUCUGCAGAACCCUGACUAACACAGUUUGGGACCAGAAAAUGGGCUCUGGCUGGCUGUGACUGAUCUGACUAUGCUGCUUUGGGAAGGAUAAUGGAAUUAUUUGGAACUUUGGUCUAAUGCCUUUGAGUGCUCAAAACUCAAUCGGCUGUUGUUCAAUGGAAGCUGGGAAGAUGAGUGUGCUGAGGGCAAGCAUGGGAGCAGCAUUCUCUGCUCCAGGUGCCUGCCUCCAGGUGCCUGCCUCCAGGUGCCUCCCUCCAGGUGCCUGCCUCCAGGUGCCUGCCUCCAGGUGCCUGACUCCAGCUAGUUGCUGCCCCGACUUUCCUCAGUGACAGAGAUGAGAUACACCCUUUUCUUCCUUAGCUGCUGUUCACCACUGUUUAUCACAGCAGCAGAGAACAGACUAAUGCAGGUAUGUGGGACUGACUCUGUAGGAAUGUGGGCAUGGCCCUGCAGCAUUGACCCUCCCUGCUAACUGUGGCUUGCUUUUAAGGAGGCUUUGGGUGAAAGGUUCUCCUUGUAGGUCUUUAAGAACGUAGUAGGAUGCACCUAAAGUUGACUGUCUUGUCACAGAAGCCACAAAUAAAGUAAAAUGAUCUAAGCAAGAAAAAAAUAAUCUUAUGCAAUAAUUUUUUUUUAGUAUACUGAUCUUUUAUCCUCUCCAAAACAUCCCAUUUCUCCAAGGAGUUAUCCAACAAGACCAACAGAUUGUGAAACUUGGAACAGGGAAACUUUGGGGGAAUUCAGAGGCCAAAUGGUUGGGAAAGGCUUUCCUUAGAAGAUGUCCACAGAAGAAACAGCAGCCUAUCUUAAAAACAAAGUUGAAAAUUUGAUGUGCAGUCUCUGUCUAUUUCCACAGAAAUAAGGAAGCCAGGAAGCUGAUACGGCCCCUGGGUAGGACCCCUGGCAAGCCCACACAGUCCCAGUUCCUUAAUCUCUCCUCACUUUUACUUUCCCCACUGCUUCUCUCACCACGGCAGCUUUCUCUGACCCUUUUCUAAGUGAGAGAAUCACUGUGCAUGGCUACAGGAUGAAGCUCAUGGAGAACGCUGUCCUGGAUCUUUUGUGGAGCUCUGACACAAUGACAAGCUACUAGGGAAGUUAGUUCUUACCAGUUGCACAAUGAUUUUAAUUGACCUUCCUAAAUGAAGCUGCCUUGAAAAUCAGAUAGUCAGUGUUAGGAUGUGAAAUUUGGGCAAUUCUCAUCUUCUGUAGAGGUUGUUACACACUGGGGCCCUCUACUGUGCCGAAUGCAGCCUAAUCGUUUAGAAAUAAUUAGUGUGCUUUUGCUUCAGUGGUAGGACGCAUAAUUUAUUAAUUGGCUGCUAUUUCCAGAUUAAAGGGCACAAUAAAUUAAGAAAUUAGCAUUAAGAAGGUAUUGAGAAAAUGACUAGAUUAAAUUCUGAGAAGAACAAGAUGCCUACAAGUUAAGGACGAGGGUAUUUAUUGCCUAGAGCUAGCUAAUGACAAGUUUGGGGACAACUGUUUAAGGGCCUUUAGCUUCAGCUUUUCCGGUUCUAACAAUAUAGAUAGGCUGCAGUAAUUCCAGAUCCCUAAUUUACAUCUUAAACAAGAGUCAGAGAAAGCUUUAUAUUAAUUAUUAUGGUCCCUGGGAUCUCCCACGCAGACUGGCAAUGAAGGUGCAAAGAAAACAGAAAACAGGCUGGCACCAGCCAUGGAGGCCACGUAGCCUCCUCACUGAAGGGGGCACAGCUGCACGGACACAGGCCCUGACAGCCACGCCUCAGUGUAAUGGGCGAGUGUCCCAACCUGUACAGAAGCGCCCAGAGGCGGCCUUGGAAGCAGGUGAGUAUUUGAAACAUACCAUCUGCCAAAUUCCUGGCUGGUGAUCAGACCCGAUCACGCGGCGUUCUGUGUUUACGGACAACUGCCAUCAUGGGUAUGCAAGGAGGGGUCUCCACAGCCUUUCUCGAAACGGUGCUGUGAGGGUCACUGUAGACCGAUUUCUUCCUCGACCUGUCCCCAAGUGCAGCCCCAUGCUGGAUUGGGAGUUCUGAGGCGAAGCAUGAUGACUGCACCAGCUGAAACCAACUGUCUGCUCGCUCAGUUACACGGUACCAGUCAUUUCUUCCCUCUCUACUGUGGAGGCUCUGAACCGGACCCCUCCUAUCUCUUGCAGCUAUUCCCACCAAACUGACCCGGAUACAACUUACCCUCCGUUCUCUGCUUAUGAAUCUAAGUAAAUUCUCUGAGUCUGGGAUCCUUUGUGUGCAGCAAAAAGCCUCUCUGGCCGCCAUGUCAGAAGAUUUGGACGGAAAAUGGAGGAUGGACUGUAGAUGCUGUUUGCCGUGUAGGUGGAGCUUCUGAGCCAUUUACGCACACCUGCUAAGCCCUUGCCCGAAUUACACAGUGGCACUACGGAGCCUCCUGGGGACCGGUGAAUGUGUAAGGGUCCGAGCAUCACUGAAGGAAGACCCCAAACUCAGAUAUCAUGCAAAGACAAAGAGCGGUUUAAUCUGCAGAAACAGCCAGCACGGGGCGGGGGGGGUCGACCACUCUUGGAAAUGGCGGACCCAGACAAAGGCAAGCAGGCCUUCUCAUAGGGGACCAGGGGGACUCUCCAGAAGGAUUAGGUAAGCUCUAAUGUGAUUGGUAGGGGCCAAAGCGGUGAUAUUAGUCUAACUUUGAUUGGCUAUUACGUUCGUUCUUCUGUAUUUAGGGAGUGGGUUGGGUGAUCUAAAAUUUCAUUGGUGGGUGCUGUGGAGGUCACAGGCAUUGGCUUCUGAAAUGGAGAUAAACGGUGUUUGUGUUGUCCUUUCAAGUGGACCAGCUUUCCCAGCUCCAUCCCUCAGAAAAAGGAGCAUCUCCACAGGAACUGCUUAUGUCUAGGCAAACACCGAGCCCCAAGCAGCUAGAAAACUUACUCUCUUGUCUUGGCCCAUAUUCCAACAGAGACCUAGUGGAUGGCUGUGCUGGUGGAGGUACAGAGUCCUCUGCACUGAGCACUCUAUACAGACUUCAGGCAUUGGCGACUAUGGCAGCCUGGAAAGGUCAGAGUUCAAGUUUGUUGUUGAGCUCAGUGCAUAGGUAAGGGAGGAAACACGCUAAACAAAAUAAAAGUAAUUUUGAACCAUUCCAUUCUGCAAAGAGUAAGACGAUGAAGGGCAUUAGAACACAUCUUCCCACCUCUGAAAUCUGAGGCGUUCCUCUCGCUGCCUGCAUUGGAGCCCUCUGCAUUGUGGCUACUGUGCAGUGAGCUGCUGCGCUCUGACUACCGGGGUGAUGUUCUAGCUGUCGUGAUCACUGAAAAUACUUGUUUUCAGGAGCUGCGGAGACGGUGCCACGGGCAAAGUGCUUGGCGUGGAAGUCAGAGGACCUGAGUCGUCGUGAUGCCCAGAACCAAAGGGAAAACAAACCAAAUAGUGUUUGUAAUCCCAGCGCUCACGUCGCCAGGACCCAGACAGACACAGGAGGGCUCCCAGAAGCUCAAGGACCAGCUGACUUGGCAGAGAAUGAGAGAUCUUGCCUCAUAUGAGGUAGAAGGACAGGAUCUCCCAUGGACCAGGCUAGCCCUGAGCUCAGCAUGCAGUGGGGUUGGCCUUGAACUUGAGCUCCUCCUGCUUCCACCUCCCCAAUGGUGUGAUCACAGGGCGCUCUCACCACAGCUGGCUAAGAAAAGUGAUCCUCACAGAGAAAACCCUGAAAGAAGCAUGGGUCUCAGAUGGAGGAGAAGUUGAGAAAAGUCAAAGUAUAGAUGGUACCUGCCUGUUCCUUUCAGAGCCACAUACAUCUGGAUCCCCCACUCCCCCACCCUCGAGGGGGCUAUGCUGGGAACUGUAGGGGGACCAGGGCAGAGUUGGUGUGGUGAAAGAGAGCGAUGUGUCAUCAAAGCCCAGGGCAGCCAGAUCCAGCUUGCUUCUCAGAGGUAUGAGCUGGGCGGGAUGGGAACAUGAGAAGGACACUGGGGACGGAGAGUAUCGAGUACCCUAACACAGAGACCACUGGAGUCACGCAGAUGGUAAAUGGAAGGGAAGGGGAGAUUGCUAAUGACUGAAGCGGGAGGGCUUUGAAAGCUGCCCAGAAGCCUAGGAGAGAAAUUCAGAUCCUCAUCGUCAGAUACCAGGAACAGGGGAUGCUGUAGUUCUUGGAACUUUCAAAUAGAUCGUUUUAGAAUGAUGCCAGCCCCACUGCCAAGCGUCUUCCAUCUCGCAGGCUACACACACAUUAUCUAACUGCUUGGCCGAGUAUCGGUAAGUCUCCUAUUACAGGAGAGAAAGGGGACUGGGUGAAGGAAGCGUACCGUGCCAAGUGACCGCCAUGCAGCAGCAUCCGGAGCCACAGCGCUCACUAUGAUGAUCUCACUGCCAGUUACCCACUGUGCCUCCCACUUCUGCACUAUUCCUGUGUUAUCCUGGGGCUUCAAAAAGAUAAAUUGGGGGGGUCUGCUGAGGUGACUCAUCAGGUAAAAGCAUUUGCUGAGCAAGUCUGAGGGCCUGAAAUCUGGCACCCAUGCUGUGGUGGAAGGGGCCAGCCAGCUCCUAAAAGACUUCUGAUCUCCACAUGCACACUAUGGAAUACAUACAACCCCCUCUCCCGACACCGACACACACACACACACACACGCCAUACACAUGCAACGAAUAGAAUUUAAAAAUGAGUCACAAUGAGUCAUAUGUUGAUUCAAUAAACACUACCAGAACGGCAAGAUAUCCAUAUGCGAAAAAAAUGAAACCUUGCACCACAUAAUGACAUGAGUAUAAAGCCCCAAAAUAUAAAAUUUCAAUAGAAAACAUAGGUUUAAAAAAAAUCUUUGUUCUCUUGGAUUGGGCAAAGAUGUCUUACGCAGACUAUCAAGGCCUCAUCUUCACAAGGAGAAUGCUGAUAGGACAGGCUGCACCCAAACCCAAGCUUCUACCCCUUAAAGGCUGUCAGCGAGGUGGCAGGACAAGGCCCAGGUGGAGAGAGACAAAUUACAGAUCGUGUAUUUGCUACACAGAACGAAAGACUCUCAUGGCUCUGCAAGAAAACAUCUGACCUUUUCCAAACAGGCAAACGAUUUGAACAAAUGUGUCUUCAAAUGAGAUAAGCUUGUGAAACACACUUAUGGGUAGAUGAUAUAUUUGAAAUAACAAUCAUUAGUUAUUAAUGAAUACAAGUUAAGCACAAAGUCAGAUGACAACGCAUAACAUCACGCCACUGAGAAUGAAGACAAGGGCUGACGAGAGGAGUCACAACUGGAGUUCUAAGUCACGGUUGGUGGGAGUUCAAAUGUGUCUGUCGCUCAGCGAAACAACCCAGCAAGAUCAAGCUCAACAGAUGUUUGCCAGAUUACUAGCAAUCCCAAUCCUAAAUAUUUACCUGCAGGAAAUGAAAAUUUACAUUCAUCCCUUGCAGUCUGGGUGGAAACCUAAGUCAGGAUCCCCAUUAUGGAAAGCAUUGGGGUGGGGGUGGGUUUCUCAAAACUAAGGUAGAAUUACUUGAUGAUCUGUGGAUUCUACUCCACCUCCCAGGAAGUGAGAUCAGGACACCUCAGUGGUGCAAUUCUAUCCUGUGUUCACUGUGCACUAUUCUCAACAGCUGAGAAUGAGAUCGGCCUGUGCCUACCACAUAAAGACUAUCGCUAUACAUGCACACACGUUUACAGAUGUUUGUGUAUUUGCACAUAUGCAAUGGAAUACUAGGUGGCCAUGAAGAAAAGAAUGAGCUCCCGUCAUUGGUGUGAACAUGGGCUUAACCGGCAAUCGACGAAGCAAGAAAGAUGAGCCAGUCAAUGGCCUCACCACGUGACCUCAUUCACACGAAGAAUCUAAAAAUGUUGAUCUCAUGCAAGUUGAAAUUAGAGAGCUGGGGAUACAGCUCAGUGGUAGAGCACUUGCCUCAGCCAGUGUUGGUGAGGCCCAAGUUCAAUUCCUACUACUGAAAACCCAAGCUAGGAGUGGAACGAUGGCGACCAGGGACAACAGGGAAGGGCGCCCUGAGGAGAGGCUGACAAAUGGGUAUCAGGUUCUAGUUAAGUCCGGAUUGGAAGAUCUGGUAGGGUGACUACAGACAGGGACUGGUUACUCAAAAUAAGACCUCAAAAAUAAGGAAGAAAGGAUUUUAAAUGUUUUGCCAUAAAAUAUUAAUAACUGUCAUAGAUAUUUUUUGUUAACUCAACAGAAAUCUAGACAUACAUGGAAAGAGGACAUCGCAACUGAAUUUUGCCUUCUGAAAAAUGGGCUGUGGUUAUGUGUCUGGGGGGCAUUUUCCUAACUGAUGACUGAAGAAAGAGGGUCCAGUCUUCUCUGGGUGGUACCAUCCCUGGGCAGGUAGGCCUGGGCUAUCGAAGAAAAGCGCUAAGCAAUCCAUCAGGAUCAAGCUUAUGUGUGGCACUCCCUGAUGGCGCUGCUUCAGAUCCUGUCUCAGUUCCUGCCUUGGGUUCCUGUCCUAGCUUCCCUCAGUGAUGGAGUAUGGCCUGGGAGUUUUAAAAUGAAAUAAAAUCUUUCUUCUCACA